UUUUGAGACUUGUGCAAUGGGCUUUUUGGGUAAUGCUUCAGGGUGGGAACACAGCAGAGCCCCUAAAGAGUUUAUGUGCCGCAAGUAUCUUAAGAGGG
rnacentral:SRP_RNA from 1 species